UCAGGGCAGGGCUUUCCCUGACCCCCAGCCCGCCCUGUAAGCAGGGCAGGGCUUUUCCCCCUGGCACCUUUGUGCCUGCUUAUGACCCCUGGCCAGAGUGACCCCCUGUAGCUGGGGCGUGUCACGGCCUUGGUCCCUGGGCCAGUUGUGAAGCCCCUCCGUGUGCUGAGGCCCCUCUGGCCUCUGCAGAGCCCGGGGCAGGGUUGAGGCUCUGCUCUCCUGCCCAGAGGGAGGGAUGGCUCCCCACGCGUUGGCUGCACAGAGCCUGCUCCCUCUUCUGGGACGUUCCCCCUUUGUGUUUUUGUCUUUGUCGGUGUGAGUGAGCAAGUGAGCUUGUGUUUUAUCCCCCGUAGCAAAAGUGAGACUAGUGUAGCUUAGACUUCCCAGGAGGGAAAGAGGGGCUCUGUGCAACAACCGGGGGGUGCCCUCUGAACCCACGGGUGGAGACAGGGCCCAGCCUUGCCCCUUCUUCCCCAGGACAGAGCGAAGCCCGUUAGUGGUGGUGCAGGCACCGUGACCCGCCUGUAGCCAGGGCCUGGGCGUGUGCCUGCGCUGCGGGGCUGCCUGUCCUGCUGGUGAUGUGCCAGCGUGAUCCCCCCCCCCGGCCUUAGGCCGUCAGGCCACUGUUGGGAGUGCCGGGCCUCGGGGGCGGCCCUGUAAGUGGGGCUUUGUGCGUCCCCCGUGCCCGGCGGGCGGUUGGAGGGACCCUCUGUAACCAGGCGGGUGUCCCGUGGGGUCCCCACCCUUUCACAGGCGUGGGGCUGGGCGUGUGCCCUCCCUGUCCUCGGGGGAAGGCAGAGCUCCGUGGCUCCCUGGGUGUGAACCCGCCUGUAAGCAGGGUCCGGGUCUGGGAGCCUUUGUGCUCCCUCAGCUGGCAGCCUGUGCGGGGCGACCGCCCCGUUAGCGGGGAGCGGGUCAGGUGCCCCCGAAGCGGAGAGAAGGAGCCUCCGCGGGCCUUUGGGCCCAGGGCUGCCCUGUAAGUCGGGGCCAGUGCCCUGGAGUCCCGGGCACUUUGCGCUCCAGGCAGCGGCCGGAGCCCCCUGUAAGCAGGGGUGCAGCCUCUUUGGCCACUGCUUUGCAUGCCCAGCUGCCUUUGCCCAGAGGGCCCGGCUCCCAGCAGCGGAUGGGACUGCGUCGCUCUGAAGCCGUCGGAGAAGAAAGAAGAGCCAGGACUGGAACUUUGAGGCAAGAGCGAAGAAGAGGAGCAGCAGCGUCGAGCUCAAGAGGGAGCACGACAGAGACCCUCUGGGCAAAUGCACCUCCCUGGCCCCCCCCGGGCAGGGAUCCGUAAGAGUCCGGCGGUCAGCUUCAGGCUGCCCCGGCUGGCUUUGUGCUGGGCGACCUCCCUGUAAGCAGGGCUGGGUCUUUGCUUUGCUUUGCUGGCCUUUGGCCAUGGCGCUCCUUUGGCUGCCCGGAGAGAGGGGCAACCCUGUAAGGAGGGUGAGAGCCCCCCUCUCCGCACCCAAGGGGGGAAACGGAGCUCUCCCGACCCCCAGCCCGCCCUGUCAUCAGGGCAGGGCUUUCCCUGAGCCCCAGCCCGCCCUGUCAUCAGGGCAGGGCUUUCCCUGAGCCCCAGCCCGCCCUGUCAGCAGGGCAGGGCUUUCCCUGAGCCCCAGCCCGCCCUGUCAGCAGGGCAGGGCUUUCCCUGACCCCCAGCCCGCCCUGUCAGCAGGGCAGGGCUUUCCCUGACCCCCAGCCCGCCCUGUCAUCAGGGCAGGGCUUUCCCUGACCCCCAGCCCGCCCUGUCAUCAGGGCAGGGCUUUCCCUGACCCCCAGCCCGCCCUGUAAGCAGGGCAGGGCUUUUCCCCCUGGCACCUUUGUGCCUGCUUAUGACCCCUGGCCAGAGUGACCCCCUGUAGCUGGGGCGUGUCACGGCCUUGGUCCCUGGGCCAGUUGUGAAGCCCCUCCGUGUGCUGAGGCCCCUCUGGCCUCUGCAGAGCCCGGGGCAGGGUUGAGGCUCUGCUCUCCUGCCCAGAGGGAGGGAUGGCUCCCCACGCGUUGGCUGCACAGAGCCUGCUCCCUCUUCUGGGACGUUCCCCCUUUGUGUUUUUGUCUUUGUCGGUGUGAGUGAGCAAGUGAGCUUGUGUUUUAUCCCCCGUAGCAAAAGUGAGACUAGUGUAGCUUAGACUUCCCAGGAGGGAAAGAGGGACUCUGUGCAACAACCGGGGGGUGCCCUCUGAACCCACGGGUGGAGACAGGGCCCAGCCUUGCCCCUUCUUCCCCAGGACAGAGCGAAGCCCGUUAGUGGUGGUGCAGGCACCGUGACCCGCCUGUAGCCAGGGCCUGGGCGUGUGCCUGCGCUGCGGGGCUGCCUGUCCUGCUGGUGAUGUGCCAGCGUGAUCCCCCCCCCCGGCCUUAGGCCGUCAGGCCACUGUUGGGAGUGCCGGGCCUCGGGGGCGGCCCUGUAAGUGGGGCUUUGUGCGUCCCCCGUGCCCGGCGGGCGGUUGGAGGGACCCUCUGUAACCAGGCGGGUGUCCCGUGGGGUCCCCACCCUUUCACAGGCGUGGGGCUGGGCGUGUGCCCUCCCUGUCCUCGGGGGAAGGCAGAGCUCCGUGGCUCCCUGGGUGUGAACCCGCCUGUAAGCAGGGUCCGGGUCUGGGAGCCUUUGUGCUCCCUCAGCUGGCAGCCUGUGCGGGGCGACCGCCCCGUUAGCGGGGAGCGGGUCAGGUGCCCCCGAAGCGGAGAGAAGGAGCCUCCGCGGGCCUUUGGGCCCAGGGCUGCCCUGUAAGUCGGGGCCAGUGCCCUGGAGUCCCGGGCACUUUGCGCUCCAGGCAGCGGCCGGAGCCCCCUGUAAGCAGGGGUGCAGCCUCUUUGGCCACUGCUUUGCAUGCCCAGCUGCCUUUGCCCAGAGGGCCCGGCUCCCAGCAGCGGAUGGGACUGCGUCGCUCUGAAGCCGUCGGAGAAGAAAGAAGAGCCAGGACUGGAACUUUGAGGCAAGAGCGAAGAAGAGGAGCAGCAGCGUCGAGCUCAAGAGGGAGCACGACAGAGACCCUCUGGGCAAAUGCACCUCCCUGGCCCCCCCCGGGCAGGGAUCCGUAAGAGUCCGGCGGUCAGCUUCAGGCUGCCCCGGCUGGCUUUGUGCUGGGCGACCUCCCUGUAAGCAGGGCUGGGUCUUUGCUUUGCUUUGCUGGCCUUUGGCCAUGGCGCUCCUUUGGCUGCCCGGAGAGAGGGGCAACCCUGUAAGGAGGGUGAGAGCCCCCCUCUCCGCACCCAAGGGGGGAAACGGAGCUCUCCCGACCCCCAGCCCGCCCUGUCAUCAGGGCAGGGCUUUCCCUGACCCCCAGCCCGCCCUGUCAUCAGGGCAGGGCUUUCCCUG